rnacentral:rRNA from 1 species
UACGUAGGGCGCAAGCGUUGUCCGGAAUUAUUGGGCGUAAAGAGCUCGUAGGCGGUUUGUCGCGUCUGCUGUGAAAACCUGAGGCUCAACCUCGGGCUUGCAGUGGGUACGGGCAGACUAGAGUGCGGUAGGGGUGACUGGAAUUCCUGGUGUAGCGGUGAAAUGCGCAGAUAUCAGGAGGAACACCGAUGGCGAAGGCAGGUCUCUGGGCACUAACUGACGCUGAGGAGCGAAAGCAUGGGGAGCGAACAGG